UAAGAGCGAAUGGUGGAUGCCUUGACUGGUAAAGGCGAUGAAGGACGUACUAGACUGCGAUAAGCUACGGGGAGCUGUCAAGAAGCUUUGAUCCGUAGAUUUCCGAAUGGGGCAACCCAAUGUAUAGAGAUAUACAUUACCUAUAUAGGAGCGAACGAGGGGAAUUGAAACAUCUUAGUACCCUCAGGAAAAGAAAUCAAUAGAGAUUGCGUCAGUAGCGGCGAGCGAAAGCGCAAGAGGGCAAACCCAGUGCUUGCACUGGGGGUUGUAGGACUGCAAUGUGCAAGAGGUAAGUUUAGCAGAACAUUCUGGAAAGUAUAACCAUAGAGGGUGAUAGUCCCGUAUGCGAAAAACAAACCUUAGCUAGCAGUAUCCUGAGUAGGGCGGGACACGAGGAAUCUUGUCUGAAUCCGGGUCGACCACGAUCCAACCCUAAAUACUAAUACCAGAUCGAUAGUGCACAAGUACCGUGAGGGAAAGGUGAAAAGAACUGAGGUGAUCAGAGUGAAAUAGAACCUGAAACCAUUUGCUUACAAUCAUUCAGAGCCCUAUGUAGCAAUACAGGGUGAUGGACUGCCUUUUGCAUAAUGAGCCUGCGAGUUGUGGUGUCUGGCAAGGUUAAGCAAACGCGAAGCCGUAGCGAAAGCGAGUCUGAAUAGGGCGCUUAGUCAGAUGCUGCAGACCCGAAACGAAGUGAUCUAUCCAUGAGCAAGUUGAAGCUAGUGUAAGAACUAGUGGAGGACUGAACCCAUAGGCGUUGAAAAGCCCCGGGAUGACUUGUGGAUAGGGGUGAAAGGCCAAUCAAACUUCGUGAUAGCUGGUUCUCUCCGAAAUAUAUUUAGGUAUAGCGUUGUGUCGUAAUAUAAGGGGGUAGAGCACUGAAUGGGCUAGGGCAUACACCAAUGUACCAAACCCUAUCAAACUCCGAAUACCUUAUAUGUAAUCACAGCAGUCAGGCGGCGAGUGAUAAAAUCCGUCGUCAAGAGGGAAACAACCCAGACUACCAGCUAAGGUCCCUAAAUCUUACUUAAGUGGAAAACGAUGUGAAGUUACUUAAACAACCAGGAGGUUGGCUUAGAAGCAGCCAUCCUUUAAAGAAAGCGUAAUAGCUCACUGGUCUAGUGAUUUUGCGCGGAAAAUAUAACGGGGCUAAAGU
rnacentral:rRNA from 1 species